rnacentral:lncRNA from 1 species
GCUGCUCGCCUCUUCGUGGAUUCCAGAGCUUGCUUUAUUCCUCAGCAGCCUUUCUACAGACUGGUGGAUUCAGUCACAGUUGAAAAUUGUGGAACUGUGGUUUGUUUCAGAAAGAGAAGAAAGGAGAGUUUAAGUAUUGCUUUGGCAGCAGAUGGCUCUGCUUUGGAUUCUUUUAUACACAAAGGAGAUGUGUUUGCUGGCUUUGUAAUUAACUCAAAAAGGGAAAAGACAAAUUGUGAAAGGCAGUGUGGAUAUGACUUGAAUUUUUCAUCAGGCUCUCAACACCAUAGUAUUUAUUACUAGAGGUGAAGAAUGACCUCCUUCCAGCUAGUUUCCCAAUAAUUCCUACUUCAAAAAGGAAUUAAGGUGAGUUAAGAGUUGAGUUUUGAAAGGUACGCGUAGAACAUACUUAUCUUUCAAUUUUAACAACAACUCUUCACAUCCUUCUUUUUUUCCUUUCCCAGGUUGGAAACAACCUCUUUCUGGCCAGAGAGCUGGUGAGCCUUUGAUUUAAGAUUAACUUUUUAACUCAGUGAUAAAUUCAGACCCAUCAAGAUAUUCUGCUGAAGCUAAUUCUUCGCAUUAAUAUUACUUUUAUAGCAAUGGAAUUGUGCUAAUAGAUUUUUCUGCUUGACACCUGUUUAAGUUAGAACUGGAAGAAGAAUCAACUCUGUGUCAAAAAAAUCUGAGAAAAUUUUGGGGGCAUCAUUUGUCAAACUUGUACAACAGUGAAAGGUGUGUAGGGAAAUGAGACAACCUUUGGCAACCACUGAUAUGGAAUUAACUAUGUGUAUAACUAAGAUGUGAUCUUUGGUUUACAUUUUUCUCAAAUUAGAUUGAUGAAAAAGGACACGCUAUCUUUAAUACAUAAACAGAAAGGAAACUCCCUUACAGGUGCCAUUCAUAGAGGUGUUAAAUAUCACUUAAGCUCUAGCACCUAUCAUUUUGAUUAAGCCAGAGGGAUUUGAUGUAUUAGCUUACAUUGCUUUGUAGUUCUAGAGAAAAUGUGUGUGAUGUCUAAGCUAGCAAUGUGAUGGCAGGACCCAAUUCUUCUUUUCUGAUCAUAAAAAAAGCAACUGAUUAUCCUUACUGGAAUUCCUUAAACGUUGAUAAAUCUUUGGCUGAGAGAGAUCUUAAAUUAUUUUAUUUUGAAAAGUUUAUCCACAGUUGCUAAAAGAAGAGUUGUAUGAAAAUGUUCAUACAAGUUUAAUCAGAGCUAUCGCUGCUAUUUCUUGUACAUCACCAUCAGUUACAGGUCUGUAACGCUGCCAGUGCAGAACCUCGGAAAGGCAACAGCCUGCAUCUAUCUAUAACUAUAUACAUAAACCCACUAAUACUCAACCACAGGCUUUUCCAGUGCUAUAAUUAAUUCAAUUAAAUUUGAUCAAAACUUCAAGGACAACAACUAUGAUAGACUCAUAGUAAUCGUUGCCUUGGAAAGCCCCAUACAAAGCGUAUUCUAAACCAUACUGGGGUUUGUCCAU